CCCUGUAUUCUAAAGUGACUGUGGGCUGCCAGGCCCUGGUCACUGAUACUACAUGGAGAAGAUGCUGAAGCUUCUCCAUGUGUUUGGAAGGUUGCUUCUGUCUUUGCCAAGCUCUGGUGCUUCUGACA